GACGAACGCUGGCGGCGUGCUUAACACAUGCAAGUCGAACGGAAAGGCCCUGCUUUUUUGGUGUGCUCGAUUGGCGAACGGGUGCGUAGCACGUGAGUAACCUGCCCUUGACUUUGGUAUAACUUCAGGUAACUGGGGCUAAUACCGGAUAGGAUCUCCUGCUGCAUGGUGGGGGUUGGAAAGUUUCGGCGGUUGGGGAUGGACUCGCGGCUUAUCAGCUUGUUGGUGGGGUAGUGGCUUACCAAGGCUUUGACGGGUAGCCGGCCUGAGAGGGUGACCGGCCACAUUGGGACUGAGAUACGGCCCAGACUCCUACGGGAGGCAGCAGUGGGGAAUAUUGCACAAUGGGCGGAAGCCUGAUGCAGCAACGCCGCGUGCGGGAUGACGGCCUUCGGGUUGUAAACCGCUUUCGCCUGUGACGAAGCGUGAGUGACGGUAAUGGGUAAAGAAGCACCGGCUAACUACGUG
rnacentral:rRNA from 1 species